rnacentral:misc_RNA from 1 species
GAUGAAGAACGCAGCGAAAUGCGAUAAGUAAUGUGAAUUGCAGAAUUCAGUGAAUCAUCGAAUCUUUGAACGCACAUUGCGCCCCCUGGUAUUCCGGGGGGCAUGCCUGUUCGAGCGUCAUUUCAACCCUCAAGCUCUGCUUGGUAUUGGGCGUCGCCGGGGAGUCUCCCCGGCGUGCCUCAAAGCCAUCGGCGGUGGUGCCUUUCUCUAAGCGUGGUAGAAUUUUUAUUCGCUUCUGAGUUGGGCUUCGCCUGCCGGACAGACCGGGCCCUCGCGGCCCACCUUCUCAGGUUGACCUCGGAUCAGGUAGGGAUACCCGCUGAACUUAAGCAUAUCAAUAAGCGGAGGA